AUCUCCACGACUAUGGUGCUCUUCGUACCUACUCCUAGGUUGAGGGACUGAUUACCUCAUCUUCUGUACAUAGUUAUACUAUCUUCAAGUUAUGUCCUGGAAUUUGUAUUGAUAAAGCCAGUGGAUGGCGAAACGUCUACAAUAAAGAUACCCAGAUGUUGCACAUGUGCCUUAAUUUCAUCACACGACAGUGUCCUCCAUCGAAGACAAUGCAAGAUUCCAAGCGGAAAUCAACCAAAUCUUUAAAUGGGCCGCGGAAAAUCUGAAGUUCAAUGACUAGAAAUUUCAAUUACUCUGAUAUGGAAACUGAGGAAAUUAAAACUAUAUCGGAGUAUAAACCAAAUUCCAACCACACAAUAGAGCGAGAAACUAAUGUGAAGGACCUGUGAGUGAUAAUGUCGGAGGAUCUCGCUUUCAAAGAUCACAACAAUGUAUAUCACAUCUGCUAGAAAAAUGAUGGGAUGGAUAAUGAGAACUUUCAAAACUAGGGAUGCCAAGCCCAUGAUUCCCUUUAAAUCGCUUGAUUUUCCUAGGCUGGAAUAUUGCUGUACGCUAACGGCGUCUUCAAGGCAGGUGAAAUUACUGAUCUUUAAAAUGUACAGAAAACUUUCACGGCACACAUAAGUACGAUAAAACACCUAAAUUAUUGGGAACGGUUGAAGUUCCUUGACUGUAUUCUCUGGAACGCAGGCGAGAAAGAUACAUGAUAAUAUAAAGUAGAGGGAUUAGUACCAAAUUUACACAUGGAAAUCACUCCCUAAAAAAAGAAAAAGACUCGGCAGGUGGUACAACAUUUUCCUACCCCCCCCCCCAAUGAAAAGCAGGGGCGCCACGAGUAUGCUAAAGAGACAACACAGUAAGUGUCAGGGGCCCAAAACUUCAAUUGCCUCCCAGCAUACCUAAGGGGGAUCUUCAGCAAGGCGCUGGACAGGCACCUAAGUCAGUUCCUGACCAGCCGGGCUGUAGUUCGUACUUCGCUUUGCAUGCGGCCAACAAUAACAGCCUGGUUGAUCAGGCCCUGAUCCACCCCGAGGCCUGGUCACAGACCGGGCCGCGGGGGCGUUGGUCCCCGAAACCUUCUCCAGGUAUACUCCAGAUAUACCUUUGACGAGUUUUGAGAGUUUCCACUCCCAGAGCCCGACCGUUGGUUAGGCUCGGUCUUGUGCUUGCCCGGUCAACCAGAUAAUGUUUUCUAAAUCAUUUAUACAUACUGGUCACCAAGACUGUUUUUGUCGGUGACCCGCUGAUGAAGAUCUCCAUCACAGCCUAGUUGAUGUGCCACCUGCUGAAAACACUUGUUUAAUUAACUUUUAAAAACUUCUAAACUUGUCUCAGCAGUGUUUCUGAUAUGUUAGUAAGAUGUUGAAUAGUCGGGGACCGUGGACGUUACCUUAUUGCACCCAUGGCGAACCUGCUUAUUUUGCACUUACACAAGAACAUAGAGGAACACUGCAGCAGGCCUACUGGCCCAUACUAGGCAAGCCCUUCUGAAACCCAAACCCUUUUAUAAAAUCAUUGAUUAAUUUCAUUUUCAAUGGUAUCCAAGGAAUAAGUUUUGAUAACCAUAUUAACUGGUAUUGUGUAAGUCCCUCUCAGAUUAACGACUCCCAUUCGUGUAUUUAUCUAACCUAUAUUUGAAGCUACCCAAGGUUUGACUUCUAUGACCCUACUAUGCAGACUGUUCCACUCAUCUAUUUUUCCAAACCAGUAUUAUCUACUUCCUUUCUAAAUCUAAGCUUAUCUAGUUUGAAUCCAUUAUUUCUUGUUCUUUCUUGAAGAGAUAUCCUCAGAACCUUAUUUAUAUUUCCUUUAUGCCCAUCCAUUUAUACCCUUCAGUCGUCUCUCUCCUCAUUUUACAUCUUACGUGGCACCCUAUCAGAAGCUUAAUUAAAACACAAAUAAACAGUAUCUUAUUCUUAAUCAUGAUCAGCUACCUCAAAUGCUUUACUGAAGACAAAUUAGUGAGGCAGGAACGGCCCCUGGUGACUCCAUGUUUUGUAUCAUAAAUCGAAUUGCUUAUUCAUAUCAGUGAUAUAAUUGACUAGUAAUUUGUCUACGUUUGGGGUCAGGCUUAUUGGGUGGUAAUUUGAUGGCAGUGGCUUAUCUCCACUUUUAAAAAUAUCGCUUAAAUUAGCAAUCUUUCACAUCUCGUAUAUUACACCAUUUUUGCAUGCGUUAAGAUCCCUUGGGGGGGGGGGAAUCAUUAGGGCCUGAAGACUUGUUUUGCUUUAAUCGGUCAACCUGUUUGAUUAUCAUCUCCGUAGUCACUGCGGUAUUACAUUUUCUUCUUCAGGCCCACUGUAAUAAUUACUGAGAUAUAGUUUGUGUCGUAAAAACCGAGAGGAAAUGUUAAAAAAUGAGCACAUUUCUUUUUCAAUGUCAGUAAGCUGUUCAGUUAGUUUAAAGAGAACCUAGCUUUUGUCUAACCUGUGUUCUAUAUAUUUAAAUAAAAAAAAAUCUUUCUGGUAUUUUUUCGAAUCCUUUGCAACUUUAAUUUCGUAGUGCCGUUUAGCUUUUCUUAUACCUUCAUUAAUUUCCCUCAUAAUGUGAAUAUAUUAAUUCAUAAGAUGACCCUCACCUAUCUUUUUACGCUUAUAAAUGCUUUUCUUUUGCCCUAAAAGAUGUUUAAGAAUGUUUCAGAUCGCUCCUAUUCAGUCAUAUUUCUCUUAACGGAAUAAAUAUUCUUUGAACAGCUAGUGUAGUGUAUAGAAAAGUGUCAUAUUGACAGUUGUCUUCGUUAUUCCCAGUCCACACACAAGUGUUCUCUAAGCCCAUUGUAACUGUUGUAUAAAUGGUUUGGAAAACCGACAAGUUGAUAAAUAAGACAUUUGUGUAACAUUCUGGCAAUGACUUCUUGACUCCAGUACUGAGGAGAGCAGUAGAAGCUGAGGAAUAGUUUAAAGUAAUCAUUCCCUCAGCCUGUCAGUUUUCUAAACAAUUUAUACAAAUUCUUUCAGACACAUCAACAUUUUGGUAUCUUGACGCAGGAAAUUCCUCAGGUUUGCCUAACGUAUAGGCAUGAUCUACUUCCACUAGUGGACUUUUCCAAGUUUGGGGAGACAGGAUAUCAUGUCUGAUAUUAAUUUUUCAUGUCCCUUUGAAAAUUCUACCCAGACACUGUAUGUGCUCUUUCAGUCUUUGUUGCCGGAUUUAUAAAUCAGUUAGUUUUUUCGGAUAUGUGGUACUAUCCCAAUUCCCUUCCCGUUAUUAAUGUCAGCUUGGAGCAGCUUGAAUCUGAGAUUCUUUCAAGACUAUAAGUAAGUAAGUAAGUUUAUUCAUUCAGGUAUACACAAAUACAGUUACAUAGAAUUAUCAUACAUCACUUGCUCUUAGGCUGAGCAUCUUCAUCUUCCACUGUCGUCUGUAUAUAUUUGUAGUCUACAGAUUAUGUCCAUGAAUUGUAUUGAUAAAUCCACUGGAUGGCGUAACAUCUAUGAAGAUGCCCAAAUGUUCAGCAUAUGUCUAAUUCAUCAUUGUCGGUAUUGCAUAUCAUUGAUAUACAAAAGAAAGGAACACUGAAAAUAACCCCCAUAGUUAUAAACUAGGUGAUCAGACAGAAUACGUUAGACAAUAGUUCAUUAGUAUCCUCAGAAUCUGUUAUUCGGCCAGUCAUUGUCAUGGCCUGGAAAGUGAUAUAUCGCAGUGAAAUGUGGACAAGUAUAAAGUUCUAAUCCUUGGGAAUGAAAAUAAACCCUAGUUAUAAACAAGAUGUAGAGCUUGAUCAUACAGAAUGUGAAAAAGACUUCCGAGUCCUGGUAAGCAGAAAUCUGAAGCCAAGGCAGCAGUGCCUAAGUGUGCACAAUGAGGUUAACAUUAUGUGCUUAAAUUUAUAUCAAGAAUAAUGAAUAACAGGAGUCCAGAAAUUAUUUUAGAUCACUGUACAUAACUAGUAAGGCUUAUUAGUUUUGGUCUCCAUUCUACAGAAUGGAUAUAAAUGCAUUGGAGGAUAUUGUAUACAUUGUAUAGAAAACCGACAAUUGUAUGAAUGAAACUCUUGUAACAUUUGGGUAUCUAUUGUGGAUGAAACUUUUCACCAGCCAGUGGCUUCAUCAGUCUAGUACAGGGAAGAAUGGAAGCUUGAGGUAAUCAGUCCCCCAGCCUGGAUGUGUGUUCGGUCCACCAGUCUUUGAUAGAAGUGCAGCAUUUGAAGUUAAGUAAGGUUUGUCAGGAAACAGGACAAGUGUUUCCUGACUCGGGUCUUAGUCAUAUGAUGACCCGAGUCAUCAUAUGGCUUACCAGUCCACUCGUUGAAAAGUUAUAACGAUUAGAAAUAUGUGCAGCACAUGCACGGAGAGGGGGUUUAUAUACUCUCGUCAGAAUCUCAGGAUGUUGCUAUGUCUUACAUAUUUUAUAAAUGAUUUAGAAAACCGACAAGUUAAUGAAUGAAACACUUGUGCAACAUUUAGGUAUCUUUAUUGUGGAGGAAACGUUUUGCCAGCUAAUGGCUUCGUUACUCAAAUACUCUUACUUCUACUCAUUCCUCUACAAUUUUGUCCUCGUGUGUGUUCGCACCUGUAUGUUGAUUACACUACAUCGAGGUCAUUCCAUUUUCCGACCAUCCUGAAACUGAAAAAUUACUUCCUGAUAUCUUUAUGACUGUCUUCCAGCUGUACCCCAGAGUACCCGUUUCCAACCUCUCAAAUAGCCUGUCCCUGUCUACCUUGUGAAUCUCUGCGAGUAUUGUAUAUGUUAUGUCUCUCCAGGUCCUCCUGUCCUCCAGGGUCGUUGGAUUAAAUUAUUUUAGCCUCCAUAGCUCUUAGCUCUGGAACUAGUCUCGUUACAUACAUCUACACUUUUUCCGUCUCUUAACAUACUUUCUCAGGUGUGGCUUCUAUAUUGGUGCUGUGUACUUCAAGGUGGUCUUGACACAUGUUGUAUAAAGCACCCGGAAUGAUUCUUGUUGAGAUUCCUGGAGGCCAUUCAGAUUUGCCAGGCGAGGAUUGGCUACAAAGGUUAUUCGGCUGAUGUGCUGCUGGCGACAUGCAUACUCCCAGGACGUGCCGAGUCUGCAGACUCGGUCCCCGGAGUCUUCUCUUGGGUCCAGUCUUGUGGAUUCUUUCCCAAUCUUCAUAAAUGUGCAUUUGCUGGUGUGUGAGCAUGCACGUGCACACGUUGUGGUGCAUGCUUAUGUUGAGAAAGUAAACAAGUGGUUUUAGGGACUUAUUCGGACUUGUUCUCGAAGUUCGAAUUACAGUGCCUACUCUAUUGAUGGAUCGAGUUGUCGCAGUUCGGCAGUUGAUCUGAUUUGCGAUGUCGGUGCACUUCUGGAAAGACAGCUAUAAACAGUCUGAUGGUGAAUGGGUUUUGGGUCAAUACCUUGGUUGGAUUUGUUUAAAAAACUGAUUUACAACGUGCAACAAAAGAUGAGCUAAUUUGUAUUGUUGACUAUUGUUAAUAAUUGAAAUAUUGCAGUACAUGAAUUAUCUCCAAUAUAGCGCAUGUAUUCUUAAAGUACACGCGCUUAUGGCUCUUAGGUAUAAGUACUGUAAAUCAAAUUACGUGAUUUCUGGACUCUAGGUUCGAUACUGAACUUUUGAAUCGGUGUGUGGUAUUUGACUCCAUCUUUCUAUUUCAUUCUACGUAUUACACGAGACUGAAAAAAAGUAUUUUGUCAUCACUGUGGCUCAUAUACCACAGCAAUUAAGUUAUGUACAAACUCUUCCGCAUCUUUAACUACCUUUCCUUGUUCACUCUAAUACAUUGAGAAUGUUGUAUAUCAUCUCUUGAUAUUUGUUAAAUGUUAAUAUUUUUGCGGAUCAUCGGCCCCUUUGGACAGGUCUGAGCCGUGGGUACGAUGAUCUCCAUAACCAUUAAGGGAUAAGUCUCGCCAGACCAGGCUUCUUAAAUCGGGAAGGAAAUAUUACAGGAAUUAUAACUUCGAAAUCUACAUUUUUUAAGUUACUGAGGCACUAUAUACUAAACAGUUGCGAACGUCUAAAAUUUAUGCAGCGAGAAGUAUAUAUCAUAAUUCACACGAGGACAAUACUAGAAGGGCUACUCGCUGAAAAUAAAACGGGUGCAGUAAGUACACCGAGACUUCGAUAAACAUAAAUGGUUGGAGGCUUAUGAACAUUCUCACUUUAAAUAUCGAGAAAUUACAAAUAAACCACUGCCUGUCAAGAGGAACGUGGCAAGCUCUCAAAAGCUCCUAAUCAGCAAGGCUGUGGUACCCACUUCGGAAUUUGUGCAAGAAAUCAGCUUGAAUGACCAGGCCGUUGACCAGGAGGCCGGGCGAUAAUCCUCGGAGCUAUCGACAGGUGAGUAGCGACCUGAUGAGCGACGCGUGCGAGCCUUCUGGAGAGAGCAGAACUAAUGAUGGCUACGGAGGCUUCAACGAUUACGACAAUCAGCCUAGAAGAAGGUACGUUGAUAGUUGUGUAUAAACCUACUUGGCUAACUAAAAGGGAUCUAUUCAUAACACCUGACCCUACCUAAUUAUUAUUUGUUUCAGUAAUCAUUGAUUCGUAUUCUAUUUACUCCUACUUUUGUACAUCUUCCAUUUUGUUCCACUUACGCCUUAAAUAUCCUAUGGAGACGAGGUCUGAAAACGGGUUAUCACUCAGUCUUAAAGUACAAAGGUGGCAGCAAAGAAAUUGAAAAAACUAGACCACUAUUACUAACGUCUAGUAUUAUCAAAAUCGUGGAGAGUUUAAGACGCAAGAUUGCUUAACACAUGGGUUGGGCAAGUGUUGUGAUACCAAGGCAACAUGUGUUUAAUGCCAGUUGCUCCUGCCCCCUCGCAAUUGUUGAACGAUUACGAGUGUUCUGAAUGUUCUGGAAGACAUAACAUGUAUAUUUAUAAUCAUGGUUUAGCGGCGUACAAAGUGUAUGCCAAAGGAGCAACUGGUAAAGGGGCAUAUGAUUCCGAUUCUACCAAAUCGGAAGGAAAAAAUAAUGAAGUUAAAUCAGAAAAUGUCACAGUGAUAAGGUUUCAAAUUUUAUCUGAGUCGUGAGUUAUGAUAUACCGAUACAGCAGUUACUCUUACAGUGGCCAGUAGUACAGUGUGGAGGGGAAGAGGGGGAAACGAAGGUGUUGCCAUAGGGUAAGGGAAUGAAGCGUGUAAGUGUAAAGGAGGAGUAGUGAUAAAAAAAAAAUGUGUGAAAGGCAGCAAUACAUUAAGCUACAAGUGUGCCGCAUUCACCCAAGGGGAAGAUAGAUUUAUUUGUAAAGUAGCUCAAACAACAUGGCAAACGUUUUGUAGCCCUUGGUUUACCCAAAGGUGCAAGGAGGCCAGAACCAAGUGUGCUAGAAAAUGGAAGAAGUAUAGAGGCAAAGACCCAGGAGAAUAAGGAAAGCAGUCGUAGAGCCAGAAAUGAAUAUGCACAGGUAAGAAGGGAGACCGAAAGACAGUAUGAGAAUGACAUUGCUGCAAAAGCCAAAUCUGACCCAAAGCUGUUGUACAGCCACAUCAGGAGGAAAACACCAGUCAUCGACCAGGUAAUCAGGCUGAGGAAGGGAGGAGGAGAGGUCACAAGAAAUCUCCGCAUAGCAUGCGAGGUGCUCAACAUGAGACUCAAAGAAAUGUUCACAGAGACAGAAGGGACUCCAGAAAGACGGAGAGGUGGGGUACACCAAGUGUUGGAUACAGUACAUAAAAUCGAGGAAGAAGUGAAGAGGCUGUUAAACGAGCUAGAUACCUCAAAAGAGAUGGGGCCGGAUAACCCCUCUCCAUGGGUCCUGAGAGAGGGAGCAGAGGCGCUAUGUUUACCACUAACAAACUUCACGUCUAUCGAAACAGAGGCGACUGCCUGAGGUAUGGAAGACAGCAAAUGUAGUCGCAGUUUUUGAAAAAGGGGAGACAGACAAAGCAUUAAGCUAUACAGACUAGUGUCACUAACAUAUAUAGUAUGCAAGGUCAUGGAGAAGAGUAGUGGAGCACAGUUUCAGGGACGAGAAAUCUUGCGUCACCUACUGCAGGUCUAUGACAGGGUAACAGCAGUAAGACAAAAGAGAGGGGUGGGUAGAUUGCGUUUUCUUGGACUGUAAAAAGGCGUUUGACACAGUUCCACACAAGAGAUUAGUGCAAAAGCUGGAGGACCAGGCCAGGAUAACAAGAAAGGUGCUACAGUGGAUCAGGGAAUAUCUAUCAGGAAGACAACAGCAAGUCAAGGUACGUGGCGAGGUGUCAGAGUGAGCAGCUGUAACGAGCGGGGUGCCACAGGGGUCACUCCUAGGACCGGUGCUGUUUCUGGUAUUUGUGAAGGACGUGACGGAAGGAAUACACUAAAAAGUGUUCCUGUUUGCAGAUGAUAUGAAGUUGAGAAAAAAUCAAUCGGACGAGGACUAGGCAGAACUACAAAGGGAUCUGGACAAGCUGCAGGCCUGGUCCAGCAAUGGUUCCUGGAGUUCAACCCCACCAAGUGUAGUCAUGAAUAUUGGAGAAGGGCAAAGAAGACCACAGACAGAGCACGGUCUAGGGGGCCAGAGACUACAAACCUCACUCAGAGAAAAGGAUCUGGGGACGAGUAUAAUACCGGGAACAUCUGAGGCGCACAUCAACCAAAUAACUGCUGCAGCAUACGGGCACCUAGCAAACCUAAGAACAGCAUUCCGACAUCUUAAUAAGGAAUCAUUCAGGACCCUGUACACUGUGUACUUAGGCCCAUAUUGGAGUUUGUAGCACCAGUUUGGAACCCACACCUUGCCAAGCAUGUAAGGAAACUAGAGAAAUGGCAAAGGUUUGUAACAAGACUUGUCCCGCAGCUAAGGGUUAUGUCCUACGAGAAGAGGUUAAGGGAAAUCGACCUGACGACACUGGAAGACAGGAAAGAUAUGGGGGAUAUGAUAACUACAUCUAAAAUACUGAGAGGAAUCGACAAGGUGGACAGACAGGAUGUUCCAGAGAUGGGACACAGCAACAAGGGGUCACAGUUGGAAGGUGAAUCACAGGAAUGUUAGGAAGUAUUUCUUCAGUCACAGAUUUGUCAGGAAGUGGAAUAGUCUGGGAAGUGAUGUAGUGGAGGCAGGAUCCAUACAUAGCUUUAAGCAGAGGUAUGAUAAAGCUCACGGCUCAGGGGGAGUGACCUAGUAGCGAUCAGUGAAGAGGCGGGGCCAGGAGCUCGGACUCGACCCCCGCAACCUCAACUAGGUGAGUACACACACACCAAA